rnacentral:rRNA from 1 species
AUGCACGGUGGCGCGCUGCCCAGCGGAGAUGCCACCACCGACCCUGCCUCCCCGUACUUCAUCGACGCCGCCCACCCAUACGCGGCCGCCACCACUACUAGAUUUUCCAUUAUAGCCGAGGGUCCAAUCAUCGUCGGAUAUAUAAGUUCACCGUCGGAUACCCUAAUAACCGACGGGUCACCGUCGGCUAUCUCCCGUCGGUCUUGCUUUGUCGGCCAUUACACAUAUAUCCGACGGUACCGUCAGAUAAUAUCUUUUCCAACGGUAAUAGGCCGACGGUUAACCAUAAGACAUAAAUUGAUCAUCAGAAGCUCGACGACACUUAUAGCCGAUGGUUCCCCGCCGGAUAUUUAUUUUCCUACGGUUAUUGCCCCCCGUCAAUUUUCUUAA